UGGGUGGAAAAUGAGCAACUUGGUGGCCAAGUAAAAUCUUGAGGAUUUGGGCAUUUAAAGGCUAUAUAAAGGGGAGGAGGAAGGGCCACGAGAAGCAAAGGAGAAAGGAAAGAAAGCAAGUGCAAGAAAAAGCAAAGAAGGAAGGAAAGAGAGACCAGAUUGGAAACCACCAAAAACGGAAAAGAAAGCUAAAAGAAACAGCCCCUAGUGCUCGAACCGGGCUAUAAACCGUGCUAUUGAAGGGAAAACGAUCAAGAUUUAAUAUAAGUGCCAGGUGUUCCAGGUUCUGGUUCGAGCAAGGACGAACAGGUGAUACUUGGCUAGCGUUGGGUUUCGCAGCCAGCUUUGGCCUUUAUUUCAUUAUGUAAUUCAAGUGAUGUAAUGUAAAUAGCAGUUAAGAUACUUAAGGAUGUAUUUGUGAAGCUGCUAUAACUUUUGAUAUGUGGAUCCGUGACAUACUUUUAUUUAAAC